rnacentral:rRNA from 1 species
GAUGAACGCUGGCGGCGUGCCUAAUACAUGCAAGUCGAGCGAACAGAUGAGGAGCUUGCUCCUCUGACGUUAGCGGCGGACGGGUGAGUAACACGUGGAUAACCUACCUAUAAGACUGGGAUAACUUCGGGAAACCGGAGCUAAUACCGGAUAAUAUAUUGAACCGCAUGGUUCAAUAGUGAAAGACGGUUUUGCUGUCACUUAUAGAUGGAUCCGCGCCGCAUUAGCUAGUUGGUAAGGUAACGGCUUACCAAGGCAACGAUGCGUAGCCGACCAGAGAGGGUGAUCGGCCACACUGGAACUGAGACACGGUCCAGACUCCUACGGGAGGCAGCAGUAGGGAAUCUUCCGCAAUGGGCGAAAGCCUGACGGAGCAACGCCGCGUGAGUGAUGAAGGUCUUCGGAUCGUAAAACUCUGUUAUUAGGGAAGAACAAAUGUGUAAGUAACUAUGCACGUCUUGACGGUACCUAAUCAGAAAGCCACGGCUAACUACGUG